CCUACGGGAGACAGCAGUGAGGAAUAUUGGUCAAUGGACGAGAGUCUGAACCAGCCAAGUAGCGUGAAGGAUGACUGCCCUAUGGGUUGUAAACUUCUUUUAUAUGGGAAUAAAAUGUUCCACGUGUGGGAUUUUGUAUGUACCAUAUGAAUAAGGAUCGGCUAACUCCGUGCCAGCAGCCGCGGUAAUACGGAGGAUCCGAGCGUUAUCCGGAUUUAUUGGGUUUAAGGGGAGCGUAGGUGGAUUGUUAAGUCAGUUGUGAAAGUUUGCGGCUCAACCGUAAAAUUGCAGUUGAAACUGGCAGUCUUGAGUACAGUAGAGGUGGGCGGAAUUCGUGGUGUAGCGGUGAAAUGCUUAGAUAUCACGAAGAACUCCGAUUGCGAAGGCAGUUCACUGGACUGCAACUGACACUGAGGCUCGAAAGUGUGGGUAUCAAACAGGAUUAGAUACCCCGGUAGUC
rnacentral:rRNA from 1 species